CCUUGAGAAAUAGCUGCUCUUGUCCUCUGCACCCUUGGGUGAUGCCACCACCCUUUAGCCCGGGCUCCUGAGGAAGGCAAGCUGAUAAGGGCAAAGGGAUCCAGGUGCACGUGGGCCUCAGGAGGAGACAGGCACUGAGAUCUUCUGGGAGCUGGGACCGCAUUCAGAACUUGGCACAUGAGCCCAGAUGGAGAGAGAGACACAACAAGAUUUUGGGAGACAAGUCAGAGAUCCUGGAGCCUGGAAGUGGAGCUAGUCCCUGAACAGAGCCUUGCCAAGACUCUCAGCAUCCCUCAGACACAUCCAAACCCCUCCAGCUGCUGAGAGGGGCUCCUGCUCCUCGGGGAGACCCUGCAUGCAGGAACCAGCAAAGCUCCAG